GCAUAUCAAUAAGCGGAGGAAAAGAAACCAACAGGGAUUGCCCCAGUAACGGCGAAGUGAAGCGGCAACAGCUCAAAUUUGAAAUCUGGCCCCUCUCGGGGCCCGAGUUGUAAUUUGUAGAGGAUGCUUUUGGUGCGGCGCCAGCUGAGUUCCCUGGAACGGGACGCCAUAGAGGGUGAGAGCCCCGUCACGCUGGACGCCAAGCCUAUGUAAAGCUCCUUCGACGAGUCGAGUAGUUUGGGAAUGCUGCUCAAAUUGGGAGGUAUAUGUCUUCUAAAGCUAAAUACCGGCCAGAGACCGAUAGCGCACAAGUAGAGUGAUCGAAAGAUGAAAAGCACUUUGAAAAGAGAGUUAAACAGUACGUGAAAUUGUUGAAAGGGAAGCGCUCAUGACCAGACUUGGGCUUGGCGAAUCACCCGGCGUUCUCGCCGGUGCACUUCGCCUCGCCCAGGCCAGCAUCAGUUCGUCGCGGGGGACAAAAGCGCCGGGAACGUGGCUCCCCCGGGAGUGUUAUAGCCCGGCGCACAAUACCCUGCGGUGGACUGAGGUUCGCGCAUCUGCAAGGAUGCUGGCGUAAUGGUCAUCAGCGACCCGUCUUGAAACACGGACCAAGGAGUCGUCUUCGUAUGCGAGUGUUCGGGUGUCAAACCCCUACGCGUAAUGAAAGUGAACGCAGGUGAGAGCUUCGGCGCAUCAUCGACCGAUCCUGAUGUUCUCGGAUGGAUUUGAGUAAGAGCAUACGGGGCCGGACCCGAAAGAAGGUGAACUAUGCCUGUAUAGGGUGAAGCCAGAGGAAACUCUGGUGGAGGCUCGCAGCGGUUCUGACGUGCAAAUCGAUCGUCAAAUAUGGGCAUGGGGGGCGAAAGACUAAUCGAACCUUCUAGUAGCUGGUUUCC
rnacentral:rRNA from 1 species